CUCUUCACCAAAUCUCUGUUGAAGAACAGUUGACAUAGUAGCUCAUGUUUUUUUUUGUAACUUAACAUAGUAGCUCAUGUUCACUGAUCGGACUUAGAAGAUGCGACUGUUCCUCCUUCAAUGAUUAAUUCCAGACACAUGUCGAAGGUCCUGACCUCCGCUGAUCGAUUAGAGUUCUUAUAAUCCUUACCGAAAUCCUGAAAUGUUACUAAAGUCGACUGGAUUCAUACAUCUUCAUUAACGCUCACAUUAACACCAACUCCCCUCUACUCUCAUGAUGUCUUAAUCAAUGCACCUCCUCUUUUCUUCCAUUGUGUGAAUCCAUAGAUAAAAAUAUGUGAGUUUCCUUUCAUGAAUUUCAUCUGUUCAUUCCUCCAGGUUCAUUCAAUCAUUCCUUUUAUAAAUAAGAAUGAUCAAUGGAACUCAUCACUCAUCACUAUAGUGAGAAAGUAUUGUGUUUCAUCAAGAGAUGUAAACGUAUCUUAGAUCUUGUACACUAGAGCAUCCAUCAAGGACUUGCACACUCAAAAAGGAUGAAGAAGCCAUAUGGGUAAGUAGAAAUUCUAAAGUGUCUAUAUGAUUCAAGGAUUUGAGAGUCUCAUCAUUAGGUAUGUUUAGUUUACUCAUUACAUUCCUCUAUUCAUACGAACAAUCUAAUAUUUUUGGAAAGCGGGGUGCUGCAUUUGUGUCCGUGGAGGACCAGACGAAGCACGUUUAGCUAUGGAGAGGUCUGUCUAUGCAUCUAAAAAUUAUAUUUGAUGUAUCACGUUAAUGCUUUGUGUUGAUAAUUCUGUUUAUGUACAAUAUUUGGAACAUAUAGAGUGUGAGUAUGAUCUCAAGACAUGCGUAGACUUUUACAAGCUGAGUCACAACAUCCUCGAUUCUUAUGAAUAAAAAUCUUAUCUUAUGCUCA